AUCAGCACUUCCGGAUCCGGCGGCGCUAGAAGCGGCCCCUCUUUCUUAGGCUUCUCUAGCACCCCAGGAUGGUCCUCUUCUUCGUCUCUUCCUUCCUCCUGGGCGUUUCCUCGAAGUUCUUAUCUUUUUAACCCAAGUAGCCAGAUUACAGCUAGUGGCCAGCAUCUAUACAAUUGAGGCUGUUACGAGGAAAGACCUUUAUAAACAUGAAGAUACCAUGGGAGUUCCGAGAUACAUCAAUUUGAAACAUCAAAUCCAUGUUAAGCAUAAAAGAGAUUGAAUGAAAGGAUGCC